AUCGAACGCUGGCGGCAGGCCUAACACAUGCAAGUCGAGCGAGCGGCGGACGGGUGAGUAAUGUCUGGGAAACUGCCUGAUGGAGGGGGAUAACCACUGGAAACGGUAGCUAAUACCGCCUACCAUCUGAUGUGCCCAGAUGGGAUUAGCUAGUAGGUGGGGUAACGGCUCACCUUGGCGACGAUCCCUAGCUGGUCCGAGAGGAUGACCAGCCACACUGGAACUGGGACACAGUACAAACGCCUACGGGAGGCAGCAGUGGGGAAUAUUGGACAAGGGGGGCAAGCCUGAUGGAGCCAUGCCGCGUGUGUAAAGAUGGCCUUCGGGAUGUAAAGCACUUUCAGCGGGGAGGCGUUACCCGCAGAAGAAGCACCGGCUAACUCCGUGCCAGCCGCCGCGGUAAUAC
rnacentral:rRNA from 1 species